rnacentral:rRNA from 1 species
UUUCUCCCUUCUGACGAACCAUGAUGUCAUUUAUUUGGUGUUGUGGGGAAUCAGGACUGUUACUUUGAAAAAAUUAGAGUGUUUAAAGCAGGCUCACGCUUGAAUACAUUAGCAUGGAAUAAUGAAAUAGGACGUUUGAUUCUAUUUUGUUGGUUUCUAGGAUCGACGUAAUGAUUAAUAGGGAUAGUUGGGGGCAUUAGUAUUCAAUUGUCAGAGGUGAAAUUCUUGGAUUUAUUGAAGACUAACUACUGCGAAAGCAUUUGCCAAGGAUGUUUUCAUUAAUCAAGAACGAAAGUUAGGGGAUCGAAGACGAUCAGAUACCGUCGUAGUCUUAACCAUAAACUAUGCCGACUAGGGAUCGGAUGAUGUUAAUUUUUUAAUGACUCAUUCGGCGCCUUACG